UGUAACGUCAGAAUUUUAAUGCUUAUUAACAUCCAUUUUGAUGUAAUAUUACAUCAGCUCAAAGUUACACUGAAAAGAGAUUCACAAAGUUCCAUUACGUUGCAGCUGUGUAAUAUUCAAAUGUUGCAACAGUGAAUAUUACGUAGAAUCAGAUGCAACCAGUUGGUUCUAAAUUGUGUGUGUCAUAUUACACAAAUUGAAUGUAAUAUUGUAUUUGAUAAUGCUAUAAUUUUCAAUCUAGCAACACUUCUCACUUUUCGUUUGCAUCGUGCCAUCGAUGAGGAUCGAGCGCCAUAUUUGUUAGUCGCAAAGUGUCACAAAGUUUAGAUUUAUAAUUAAAGUUAAAUGCUGUUUAUACAGCGUUUUUAAUUAAAAUAUCUACCAACAUUAGUGCGUUUAUUCUAUAGUGCUUCAUUCUGGCGUAAAUUUUCUGCGGGUUUUCCUAAACUUUGAUCGAGAUCACACUUGACGCCCAUAUGGUAGGUAUAAGUAUACCGUGAACAAAGUUCUCGGCGCUGUAAACUCUUUAUUUACACGGAUGUACCGCCACCGGGCUUAGGACACAUCACUUCGUGCCAGUGCAUUAAAUGGUUUAUGGAGGCGGCCGGUCCGACUGGCCAACAUUUCAGACGGGCGUACCGGACAAUGUGUCGACUAUCCUGCGACUGGCUGGUCAAUUGUACAUGAGCUACAUUUCGUUCUGUGUCACCCACAUGCGAACACCUGCUGUCCGGUUUUGACAACCUGGUUUUAGCCUGUCCGAUGUAUCUCGACAACAAUUUCGCUUUUGUAGAGUUCCGUUCGAUUGCUGAAACAACCUAUUCAAGGGCACUUUAGGGCAGUAUCCUGCACUAUCCCAUGCCAGAUACGACCGACUCCACUGUGCCAGCCAGAAAAACGUAAUAAGUGUAGUGAUUAGUACACUGAGGCAUGAUUCGCCGUACAAAAUCGUCAUUGGUGGCCGCCGAAAGAGUUGAGAUCUGAACCGGAACUUGUUUUCUUAUGCAAGCAGCGAGGCAAGCAGACACCUCGGCAGGCAAAUAAUGAAGAUUAAUGUGAUGAAUAACACCGUCCAUCACGCAGUACCGUCCAGCCUGAUACCUAUUUCGAAACGCAUAAACACACGGAAUUCCUGGAACAGGUUAUUGAAAUGAAGAGCAUUACCUUCCGGUUGUUUCAAUAUUUAGCCAUCGUGUGCAGGCGUUGUUUAAAUUCGUGAACAGAAGCAAUCAGGUUUUAUUUGGACGGUGCAAGUAAUACAAGAUAUUCCCGAUAUCGGCACACCGCUCAAACUCUGAACCAGCAGUUAUUAUUUGUUUACUUUGCCUGUGAAACUGAAUGGCGAAGCGGUUUCGAAGUUCCUCCGAAUGCUGAAGCCUUCCGUGCCGCUCUGUUUAACAUCACUCCAGCGAAAGUAAUCCGGAACCGAGCCCUGCAAGGAAAUUGCCCAAUAUCGACUCGCCCAAUCUGCGGAAAGUUCUGCCGUGGCCCAAGGAUGACUCAGCACCUACCGACGAUGACGAAAACGUGGAGAAACUUAUCAUCAUCGGCUUAUUUAGAACUGAAGAAGAUGAAUCAGUUGACCGGUUCAAGGUGUAUCGCCAUUGCAUGAGAACCGACCCCUGGAGGCGACUGGAUACAAGGCGAACGCCUUCAUAAUAGAUCAGAGCAUAGUGAGCUAAAAAUGAUUAUAUUUAUUAAACCGACAUGAUGUAUUGAAUAUAC